GAGAUGAGCUCCAGCAGCCGCAGGAGGUGGAUGCCGUCAGCCAGCUCUGUGUACAGGUUCCGGAUCUUGAUGCCCGCCUGGGGAGGGGACAGGGAUUCUUCUUCUCAGAGCCCCUGCUGCCAGGUCCCUCCACCACAGUGACUGGGACAGGUGGAAGGAAGACAGGAAACUGCUUACCUUGGUGAUGCCUGGGUCCCACAGAGACGGCUCUGCUGGACGGAUGGAGAUGGUAGAUAGCAGGGGCUGCUUACCUUGGUGAUGCCUGGGUUCCACAGAGGCGGCCCAGCUGGACGGAUGGAGAUGGCAGAUAGCAGGGGCUGUGGAGG
rnacentral:lncRNA from 1 species